UGAGGAAUAUUGGACAAUGGGCGAAAGCCUGAUCCAGCCAUGCCGCGUGUGUGAAGAAGGUCUUCGGAUUGUAAAGCACUUUAAGUUGGGAGGAAGGGCCAUUACCUAAUACGUGAUGGUUUUGACGUUACCGACAGAAUAAGCACCGGCUAACUCUGUGCCAGCAGCCGCGGUAAUACAGAGGGUGCAAGCGUUAAUCGGAAUUACUGGGCGUAAAGCGCGCGUAGGUGGUUUGUUAAGUUGGAUGUGAAAUCCCCGGGCUCAACCUGGGAACUGCAUUCAAAACUGACUGACUAGAGUAUGGUAGAGGGUGGUGGAAUUUCCUGUGUAGCGGUGAAAUGCGUAGAUAUAGGAAGGAACACCAGUGGCGAAGGCGACCACCUGGACUGAUACUGACACUGAGGUGCGAAAGCGUGGGGAGCAAACAGGAUUAGAUACCCCCGUAGUCCCUGAGCGGGCUGGCAAGGCGCAU
rnacentral:rRNA from 1 species